rnacentral:rRNA from 1 species
GGGCGCAAGCCUGAUCCAGCCAUGCCGCGUGCGGGACGAAGGCCUUCGGGUUGUAAACCGCUUUCAGCCGGAAGAAAUCGCCUAAGGCUAAUAUCCUUGGUGGAUGUACGGUACCGGAAGAAGAAGCACCGGCUAACUACGUGCCAGCAGCCGCGGUAAUACGUAGGGUGCGAGCGUUAAUCGGAAUUACUGGGCGUAAAGGGUGCGCAGGCGGUUUUGCAAGCCAGACGUGAAAUCCCCGGGCUUAACCUGGGAACUGCGUUUGGAACUGCAAGACUAGAGUGUGUCAGAGGGAGGUGGAAUUCCACGUGUAGCAGUGAAAUGCGUAGAUAUGUGGACGGAACACCGAUGGCGAAGGCAGCCUCCUGGGAUAACACUGACGCUCAUGCACGAAAGCGUGGGGAGCAAAACAGGAUUAGAUACCCUGGUAGUCCACGCCUAAACGAUGUCAACUGGCUGUUGGGAGAGAAAUCUUUCAGUAGCGAAGCUAACGCGUGAAGUUGACCGCCUGGGGAGUACGGCCGCAAGG